CCUACGGGGGACAGCAGUGGGGAAUAUUGCGCAAUGGGCGAAAGCCUGACGCAGCGACGCCGCGUGAGGGAUGAAUGUCUUCGGAUCGUAAACCUCUGUCAGCAGGGAAGAACGGUCACUGUGCUAAUCAGCAGUGAAUUGACGGUACCUGCAAAGGAAGCACCGGCUAACUCCGUGCCAGCAGCCGCGGUAAUACGGAGGGUGCGUGCGUUAAUCGGAAUUACUGGGCGUAAAGCGCUCGUAGGCGGUAUGUCAAGUCAAGGGUGAAAGCCCCGGGCUCAACGUGGGAACUGCCUUUGAAACUGGCAGACUUGAGUGUGUGAGAGGAUAGUGGAAUUCCAGGUGUAGGGGUGAAAUCCGUAGAUAUCUGGAGGAACAUCAGUGGCGAAGGCGACUAACUGGCACAUAACUGACGCUGAGGAGCGAAAGCGUGGGUAGCAAACAGGAUUAGAUACCCCAGUAGUC
rnacentral:rRNA from 1 species